rnacentral:tRNA from 1 species
GCGCCCUUAGCUCAGUUGGUAGAGCAGACGGCUCUUAACCGUCGUGUCACUGGUUCGAGUCCAGUAGGGCGUAC